GUACUCGCUUCAGCAACACAUGUACCAAAAUUGAAAUGAUGCAGAGAAGAUUAGCAUGGCCCCUGCAUGAGGAUGACAUGGAAAUUUGUGAAGCAUUCCAUAUUUUU